UACGAAGGGGGCUAGCGUUGCUCGGAAUCACUGGGCGUAAAGGGUGCGUAGGCGGGUCUUUAAGUCAGGGGUGAAAUCCUGGAGCUCAACUCCAGAACUGCCUUUGAUACUGAAGAUCUUGAGUCCGGGAGAGGUGAGUGGAACUGCGAGUGUAGAGGUGAAAUUCGUAGAUAUUCGCAAGAACACCAGUGGCGAAGGCGGCUCACUGGCCCGGUACGUGACGCUGAGGUGCGG
rnacentral:rRNA from 1 species